rnacentral:misc_RNA from 1 species
UUUAAUUUUAAAAUAUUUUGAAUUCACUAUGCGUAUCAUGCGCGUCACAGAAGUCGUCUUUAUCGACGGUACGGUGAAAAGUGGAAACGGCGGCGCUGUAGCGUCGGCCAGUAGUGUCAAGAUGGCGACGCCCAGUGAACUGUCUCUCGAAGAAAUUCGUCAAUAUUUGUUGGAAAAUGGGGGUACUGCUCGUAAUCACGAUGUAGUGAAGCACUUCAAGAAGUUUUUGACAGAUCCAGAAACGCGAGUCGAGGCACGAAAUCAGUUCAAGGAAUAUGUAAACACCCUGGCUACUAUAAAGAACGAAGAGGGUGAGAAAUAUUUAGUUCUCAAGAAGAAGUAUCGUCAACUUCCUAUAGAUUUGGGGAUUUCGGAUCAAAUGACAUCACCCAUAAAUAGCCCUGAUAUAUCAACUCCGCUUUCUCCUUUACGAGUUCCGCCACCUUACCGACCACCACCUCCCGCACCUCUUAGUCCUCCGACCAAUAAUGCGAACCGCGAAGAAUCGUGUUCGAAUUUUGACCGUGAAGAGGCCGCUAUUAACGCGCGGAAAAAUGGCGUCGAAAGCGUCGAGACAGGAUUUUCAACAACCUCGCCUCCUGUACCACCACGUCGUAAAAGUCAAGAUAAAGUCAAGAUGGAAAAUAAGGAGAAUGUCGAUAGAAAUAGGGGAGGAUCGGAGGCAGUUAUCAAGGAAGAUGAGGCUGUCGCGACGAAUCCGGGCUCAACCGAGCAAUUAAGCUUCCGCGAGCGGAUGCAACGUUUCAACCGGAUGGCUAGCGAAACCGAUCUCCAAGGCAGGCCUAAUGGCACUAUCACACCUACUAAAAAGCGAUCUGACAAGGGCGCCGACGAGGAUGACAGCGCUUCCGUCGCCUCGCAACUGGACGGGAAGUCACGGGAGUGGUUGGUCAGAGCGGCGCAAGGGGAUUAUCAGGCUUUGGCGAAAUUGGCCGCCGAAGAACCUCGCCUCACCCGCCUCAAGGUACCGACGUCCUGUUACACGGCGUUGCACUGGGCGGCCAAGCACGGGGACGAGAAUAUCGUCAAGUUGAUCGCUGGCACCUACAAGGAUUACAUCAAGAGUGUCAAUGAAACUUCGAACGGGGGGUACACGCCGUUACAUAUCGCGAUGCAGUUCGAUCAUGAGAAUAUCUUCAACCUGUUGGUCCAAGUGUACGCUGCGAACCAGGAGAUACGGGACUACAGCGGGAAGAAGGCGAGACAAUACUUGGUCUCCCAGGAGGCCGCUGUCAGUCAGGACACCUUCCGCAGGAUUACUGCUGCCGCUACGCUCAGAGAAAGAUCUUGGUUUCCUGCGUAUUGGCUCGCUGAACGUACGCGUGAAACGCACGACGGAAGCGUUCAGCCAGUUCCUGGGUGUGGCAACUAGCAGCGCCAGCAGCAACCACGAGAAGAUACACAAGAGUUGGGGAUCGGCGGAUAAUGUGCAGUUGGAUCAAAAAAUGAUGCCGCCACCAAAGUACGCGCCUAUCAAGAAAAGAAGAAGUCGCCGUGCUCAGGAUUUCAGCUCGUCGCGGGAACACCAAGCUGCCAGUCAACCGACCACUCCGCUUCUUCAAGGGAAAGUUUCUCGAUCGAGUCAA